rnacentral:misc_RNA from 1 species
UUUUACAACGUACUAUUGUGAAUUUCAGCGUAUAUUUUCACAAGUCUCUCAACAUUUCUACACAAAAUUGUUGUCAGCAACUCUAGUGUGUGAAAAAAUUUCGGUAGGUUGUGAAAAUAAAGUAAUUGUGUUGAAAAGAAUUAAACUAAUAUAUAAAAGACUUCAAUAAAACACUGCAAUAGACUCUGGUUGACGUUGAUUGUAUAUUAUGCUAUUCAUAUGUGAAGCACUGUAAGGUGAAGAACACAUAAAAGUGCACUGCUCUAAUUGUUUGCGAGAAUACACCGAACUCAGCGGUGACUUUCAAUAAGCUACUAGUGAAUUUGUUAUGCAAACAAAAAUAAUUAAACAGUGAAAGGAAGUUCUGUAAAAAUGUGAUUAAGUUCUUGGGGAAAUUCAUGAAAAUUGCUACCAUUUGUUGAUACUAAAAAGAGAUCCCCGAAUGUGAACGAUCGAAAACGAUUAUACUCAGCUAUGUCGCUACAUUGUAUCGUGGUGCAUUGAUAGCUUCACAAAACGUGGUGUUUUUGUUGCUUUGGCAUGCUUUGCUACGUUCGUUCAUUGUUGCACCACUGUGAAUUGCAGAAUCAAAUAUGUUAGUAGAUGUGUGCAGUGGUGGCAGCCAUUGUGAAUGCAUUAGGUUUUUCGCUGUGGUCACGUACUCUCUUUCAUCCUGUGCAAUUUUGUUAUAAUUUAGUCAGUUUUACCUGUGCGAAGAAUAUUGCGAAUUAAUAUUGUUUACAUUAAUGCAAAUACAAUAUUAGUGUGAUCCUAUUUUAUGUGUAAAGAAAAUAUUGACAAAGUGAAAAUCAAUUAAAUGGAACACCUAACCAGCGACUAACAUUGAUUGCCAUUAAUAAAAUCGUAAACGAAAAGCAAACAAAAUAAACGUUGCUAUAACGGUUAAAUACAUUUAGCGAACGCGCGUGUGUGUGUGUAAGUGCAUGUGUGACAAGCAUUGCACUUAAAUAAAGAACCACAACACCGAAAACAACACACAAAAAAUGUCUUCAUUCAGCGUAGAUGUGCCGCGGAUUAUGGUCUUUCGACCGACUUGGGAAGAAUUCAAGAAUUUUCCCAAAUACGUCGCCUACAUGGAAUCUCAAGGCGCACAUAAAGCCGGUCUGGCCAAAGUAGUGCCACCACCCGAGUGGGUGCCGCGACGCAGUGGCUACGAUGAUCUGGAUGCACUCAACAUAACCAUACCGGCGCCGAUUUGUCAGGUCGUGACCGGCAAACAGGGUCUCUACCAACAAAUUAACAUACAGAAGAAACCACUCACCGUGAAGCAAUUCAGUGAAUUGGCGUCCACGGAGCGCUAUCAGACGCCCAAACAUUUUGAUUUUGAAGAUCUCGAGCGUAAAUAUUGGAAGAAUAUUACCUAUGUAGCGCCGAUAUAUGGCGCGGAUGUUAGCGGCAGUAUUACAGAUGUGGAUCAGGAUAGUUGGAAUAUAAAUCGUCUUGGCACAAUACUGGACUUUGUUAACGAGGAUUACGGCAUACAAAUUGAUGGUGUGAAUACGGCAUAUUUGUAUUUUGGUAUGUGGAAGACCACCUUUGCCUGGCACACCGAAGAUAUGGAUCUCUAUUCGAUAAACUAUUUACACUUUGGCGCCCCGAAGACGUGGUAUGUCGUUCCACCCGAACAUGGGCGCAAAUUGGAGAAGGUCGCGAAUCAAUAUUUUCCGGCAAGCUAUCAAAAUUGCAACGCAUAUUUGCGGCAUAAAAUGACACUGAUCAGUCCGCAAGUGCUUAAGCAACACGAUGUGCCAGUGAGCAAAAUAACACAAGAGGCUGGUGAGAUAAUGAUAACAUUUCCUUUCGGCUACCAUGCCGGCUUCAAUCAUGGUUUCAAUUGCGCCGAGUCUACAAAUUUCGCCAUGGAACGGUGGAUUGAAUAUGGAAAACGUGCCGUUCAAUGUACCUGCAGCAACGAUAUGGUUAAGAUCUCCAUGGACACAUUCGUGAAACGCUUUCAGCCCGACCGCUAUCAGGCGUGGCUGGAGGGCAAUGAUGUGGGCAGACAUCCGGAGGAUCCGCCCAGUGUUGUAGCCGCAGCACCACUACCAUCACAUUUGGAUGUGACAUGCAAUAAGAAUCAUGGGGCUGACAAUUUACCAAUGCACGUAAUACAAAGAAUGAAGAAACAAUGUAACCCUACAAAAAAGAAGUCAUUCAAAGAGCGCAAUCCUGACUUGAAUUUAGAGGAGAUACAACUAAAUCCCAACAUACCCGAUGAGGUGAAGGCUGUGCUGAAAGAGAGCGUACUUACACUCGACGCUGAGGACGAAGAGCCGGCCAUAAUCGGUGACGGCGAACCUGAGUUACUGAUUCCACUAAGUCCAGCCAAUUUGAAAACCAAAAAGGAAUUAUUAGACUACAUCGAUGAUGGCACAGAUGAAGAUGAGGAGGAGGAGUUUCGUAAACGACGUCAUAAGCGCAAACAUCAUUCCGAUUAUGAUGAUGAUUGGUUCACCAGCAAACGGCGUACGAAUUCACGCAAUAGCAGCAAAGGUCGUAGUCCGCGCAAUAGCAAUAAAGACGAUCGCUCCAUAUCGCCCGCAUCGUCAACAUCCUCAUCGUCACGUGCACGUCGUCAGCCAUGUACGACGCCUGGCAAAACGCCACGCAAGACGCCAAAUCGCCGAAAGAAAGACAAUGCAGCGACAACACCAAAUGCUACCGCCGCCACGACAGUGCCCACGAAAGCGGCACAAUCCGAGGCUGUGGCAAACGUACUGAAAACCGCAGCUGCCGUUUCGCAAGCGCUAAGCGGACAAUGCAGUGAUGAAAACGGCAAUAGCAAUAGCAACAGCAAUGGCGGGGUUGCGAGCCCACCAGCGCCCAACGUUGAGACACCAGCUGUAGCCGUGACCGUGUCAGCCGUAGCUGCUGCUGCCGAUGCGGCGGGAGGUAACGGCAGUUUAGCAGUCACAACAAAUUCAACUACCACAACCGCACACACACCCGUUAUACGUGUGGUGCGUAAGUUGAGCGAUCAGCUGAGCAAUCACAACAACGAUCUCCCCUCUGUGCCGAGUGUGUUGCAGUUCAUGCAACAAACACGCAAAUUCGAGGGUAAAAUACCGAAAAUCGGUCAACAAGUGAAUUUGCAACGCGCCGAACUACUCAUAAUGCCAACAACAUCGAACGCUUUGGCCGCCUCCACUGCUGUUGCUAAUACCACUAGCGCCAUAACAACAGCAACAACAUCUAGUCAGCAACAACAACAACGUCAACAGCAGCAGCAGCAGCUCGAGCAGGAGCAACAACAGCAAACAAUUGUUUAUACAACAAUGUUGCCGGCGGCAAGCACAUUGAGUGGCAUCGUUGCGCAGCAAAGUGCGCAGCAACAACAACAGCAAACACAAUACAUUACAAUACCCGCCACAUCGUCGGCGUCGGGUGCCAAUAGCACGGAUGGCGCUGUUUAUCAGUUGCAAAGCGAAAUUGUUUGCGAUGCAGCUACAUAUCAGCAACAUCAGCAACAGCAACAACAACAGCAGCAGCAGCAACAACGCCAGCAACAGCACGAACAACAACAAUUGACUGCACAAAGCAUCAACGGCAAUACAAUUGCUGUGACGUCGGCCGCCGCAGCGCAAGCUUUAGUGCGACAGCUGUUUAUUGCCAGAAAUUCUUCGUCCCCUAUACUGCUCACCUCGACAGCCGCUGCCGCCGCCGCCGUCAAUAAUAACCACCACCAGCAACAUCAUCUCCAACAACAACAACAACAUCAACAACACAAUUCUGCUGCUGCCGCAACAUCGACCUAUACCACCACAACCACCACUGCCACACCGCUCCACGCAAUCAAAACUGAAAUUAACGACGAAACGAAUCACAUUAUUGUCAAUGGCGAUGGCACAACGCUGCAGACGCAGUCGCACCCUCAGUAUCAUUACAUCACCACUACAGGUGAAGAUGGACAAACGCCGACGACAAUUGUUUUUGAAAACUACAAUGGUGAGGUCACUGAAGUGAAUGGGGGUGGGGGCGCCACCACGAUCAUUAAAUUUGAGGGUGACGAUACCGAGUAUCAAGGAUAUCAGGUGAUAAAACAAGAGGAGGAUAACUCAAAUGGCAUGCACAAUGAUGGAUCAUCAAUGGAACAACAGCAACAGCACCAACAACAGCAACAGCAACAACAGCAACAGCAACCACAAUUUACUUAUAAAACUAUAAAACAAGACGAAGAAAUGAAUCAAACUAUUAGCGACACGAUAAUAGUGCCCCCCAACGGCGUACCAGCGAUACCACCGCAAAAACAAAAGCGCAAGCGAAAAACACGUUUGAUUUCUCCCGACGAACAGGGCGAGUACUUGGAGAAGAUGUCGGUGCGCGGACUGGACAUCCAGCGCUACGAACAUAUCAUUGACGGCGUCUCCUAUUGCCUGGUGUGUGCCAAAAAUGACGUUUUCAAAACAUUCAAAAACAAAUACAGUUUCCAACGUCACGCCUACCUAUUCCACGAAGGCGAUAAUCGCAAGAUAUUUGCCUGCCCCAUUUGCAAUAAAGAGUUUUCACGUCCCGACAAAAUGAAAAUGCAUAAAAAAGAUAAACACGGCGAUAUGCAAGUACCCGAUGGCACUCUUACACCAGCGGCCACACCGGUGAAGCAAUCACCAGACACCAAUACAGGUAAGCGUCCACGUGCCACCAGCUCACGAUCACGCGCGCGGAAACCACGCGCCACUAUAGCCAACACCGCGACGGCGACCGUCAACAGCGGCAGUGAAGAGAAUGCCGUUGAAGCGAAACGGAAACGCCUUGCGCAAAUCGAUAGCGUUUUGGAUGUCGUGCAGCAGCAAGCAGCUGACGUGAAUGGAACACAGGCGCAAACAACCACUAUCAAUGUACAACUGCAACAGCAGUCAAACGCACAAGUGCAGGUACAACAACAACAGACAUUGCCGCCCAUCGAUUUGAGUGGCAUGAUUCUGCCCGGUGGCGCACAGCUGGCGCUGGCCAAUCCCGGCGCCACGUCGGCGCUUCUACAGCAACAACGCGUUGCACAUCAACAACAACAGCAGCAGCAACAGUCGCACGCCCCACCACCACAGCAUAUUGCAAUGUCCGCGCAAGCAACGCAGGUGCUGCAGCCGUCAGCAACAGCCGCCACUGCUGCUGGCGCCGCUGGCACCACUCUCAUCUAUUCCAAUCAGAUUGAUUUGCAGCAAGCGCUGUUACAGCAACAGCUGCAUGGCCAAAGUAUAAUGAUACAAGAUCAAGCGGGCAAUUUGGUGCCGCUGCAAUCAUUGCAAGCGCUUAACGCAGCCACCACGCUAGACGGCACACAAACAAUCUACACCACGCAGCCGGCGCGUCAUGCACAACCGCCUCAACAGUUGCUCCAGACAACACAACAAACGACGCCGCCGAAUGCCUAUCAGCCGGCGCCGCAACAACAUAUACAGCUGCAGGCGCUGCCAACCGGUUCGCCACAAGAGACUAUCAUCACCACGACGUCGCCUGCCACUCAGGCUCAACAGCAACAGCAGCUGAAAACAACCACACAACAUCAGCAACAGCACACAAGCAAUGUUGUGACACAGCAGCAGCAGCAACAACAACAACAGCACUAUGAGCUAGAGAAUGUUGCCUAUCUGUCGUCGACUGCUGCAACGCCGGCGCCGCCAGAGCAACAACAUCAACAACAACAACACCAUGUUAUUGGCACUGUGCAAAGCUAUCAGAUACUCACACCCGACGGCUUGCAAAGCUAUCCCACCGCCACAGCGACGACAACUAAGUUGGAACCGAGCGAUUUGGCGGAACUUUGUCCAUACACUUCAAUGACCAGCACGACUCCACAUUACACAUUCACAACACAUGCGGGACAUCAUGGCGCCACCGCGGACGCGCUGCAUCAGCAAGUUGCCGGCGCCACAACUAGUCAUACACAACAGCAGCAGCAGCACCAGUUGACGGCUGGCGGCGGCGGCCAGCAGCAGCAUCACAUACAGCAGCAGCAUCAUUUCAUGGAGCUCAAGAACGAUUUGUUGAUUAAAAGCGCAGCUGAUGCGUACGCGUUGGACGCGAGCUCCAUGUAUCACCUGCCCUUUUCGCCGUCAUCGAUGAUCAGCUCGGUGAACGAUGGCAACGGACAGUCACUGCUCGAAACCAAAGAGAUUAGCUAUGAUAUCAGCGAGGCGGUUCUGUUAGCGCUUUAAUGAGCAAAAGCGUGCCGCUGAGGAGGAAUUACCAAAAAAAAAAACGAAAAAAUUAAAGAUUUAUAAUUUAAAUAAAAAAAUAAAAAUAAUAAUAUGGGAGAAAUAAGAUUGUUAAAAGUGUAAAGCCAAAAAUCAUAAUUUUUGCUGAAGUGCAAAAUAAUAAUUACUAGAUACAUAUAUAAUAAGCACCCGAAUAAAACAAAAAAUAAAAAAGUGUUCGUUUUGCUAAUGCGCCAGCAAAAGUAGCAGUUCGUCAAGACGCGAAACCGACUUACGUUUUUAUUUAGAUUAAAUUUUUGUUCUUGUAUCAACAUUAGCUGCAUACUACUGCUACUACCGUUCAAUAAAAUUUGUACCAGAGGUUUUUCUAAAAACCAAACAAUUAGCGUUACCAACAAUCAGAACAAAUACAAACA